UUGUCUUGUGUGCCAGCAGCCGCGGUAAUACGUAGGGAGCAAGCGUUGUCCGGAUUUACUGGGUGUAAAGGGUGCGUAGGCGGCUUUGCAAGUCAGAUGUGAAAUCUAUGGGCUCAACCCAUAAACUGCAUUUGAAACUGUAGAGCUUGAGUGAAGUAGAGGCAGGCGGAAUUCCCCGUGUAGCGGUGAAAUGCGUAGAGAUGGGGAGGAACACCAGUGGCGAAGGCGGCCUGCUGGGCUUUAACUGACGCUGAGGCACGAAAGCGUGGGUAGCAAACAGG
rnacentral:rRNA from 1 species